GCCCCGUGAAGGUCUUGGCACAGAGACCAUGCUCUGACCUUGGAUUCAAGCUGGCACAUGGAACCCAGCACCCUUCACUGGGUGCUUCCUACCCUGGCUGGUCACUCUGAAGGACACUUGUCCCUGCUGCCUUAGGCUGGCUCUUCACCUGGAGGUCUCAGAGCUGCUGAUUGUGAAUCUCAGAGUCUUAAGAGAGAAGCCAAAUAUAUUCCUCUUGUAAAUGAAGAAAUAAACCUAUUUAAAUCAUGUC